rnacentral:rRNA from 1 species
AGUGAACGCUGGCGGUAGGCCUAACACAUGCAAGUCGAACGGCAGCACAGUAAGAGCUUGCUCUUACGGGUGGCGAGUGGCGGACGGGUGAGGAAUACAUCGGAAUCUACUUUUUCGUGGGGGAUAACGUAGGGAAACUUACGCUAAUACCGCAUACGACCUACGGGUGAAAGCAGGGGAUCUUCGGACCUUGCGAGAUGGAAUGAGCCGAUGUCGGAUUAGCUAGUUGGCGGGGUAAAGGCCCACCAAGGCGACGAUCCGUAGCUGGUCUGAGAGGAUGAUCAGCCACACUGGAACUGAGACACGGUCCAGACUCCUACGGGAGGCAGCAGUGGGGAAUAUUGGACAAUGGGCGCAAGCCUGAUCCAGCCAUACCGCGUGGGUGAAGAAGGCCUUCGGGUUGUAAAGCCCUUUUGUUGGGAAAGAAAAGCAGCAGGUUAAUACCCCGCUGUUUUGACGUUACCCAAAGAAGAAGCACCGGCUAACUUCGUG